UGGAGAAUAUUGCACAAUGGGGGGAACCCUGAUGCAGCGACGCCGCGUGAGUGAAGAAGUAUUUCGGUAUGUAAAGCUCUAUCAGCAGGGAAGAAAAUGACGGUACCUGACUAAGAAGCCCCGGCUAACUACGUGCCAGCAGCCGCGGUAAUACGUAGGGGGCAAGCGUUAUCCGGAUUUACUGGGUGUAAAGGGAGCGUAGACGGCGGUGCAAGCCAGAUGUGAAAGCCCGGGGCUCAACCCCGGGACUGCAUUGGAAACUGUUUAACUGGAGUGUCGGAGAGGCAAGUGGAAUUCCUAGUGUAGCGGUGAAAUGCGUAGAUAUUAGGAGGAACACCAGUGGCGAAGGCGGCUUGCUGGACGAUGACUGACGUUGAGGCUCGAAAGCGUGGGGAGCAAACAGG
rnacentral:rRNA from 1 species